rnacentral:rRNA from 1 species
GGGGAAUAUUGGACAAUGGGGUAAACCCUGACGCAGCAAUACCGCGUGAGUGAAGAAGGUUUUCGGAUCGUAAAGCUCUGUUAUUGGGGAAGAAAAAAAGACGGUACCCAAGAAGAAAGUCCCGGCUAACUACGUGCCAGCAGCCGCGGUAAUACGUAGGGGACAAGCGUUGUCCGGAUUUACUGGGCGUAAAGGGCACGCAGGCGGUUUUUUAAGUCAGAUGUGAAAGGUACCGGCUCAACCGGUGACAUGCAUUUGAAACUGAAAGACUUGAGUAUUGGAGAGGCAAGUGGAAUUCCUAGUGUAGCGGUGAAAUGCGUAGAUAUUAGGAGGAACACCGGUGGCGAAGGCGGCUUGCUGGACUGUGUCUGACACUGAGGCGCGAAAGCCAGGGGAGCGAACG